GUGCUUGCUUUGACAACACAUAUACUAAAAUUGGAACGAAUCAAAGAAGAUUAGCAUAGCCCCUGCACAAGGAUGACAUGAAGAGGAAGCUGCAGUUCUGUUU